UUGAGGAAUAUUGGUCAAUGGGCGGGAGCCUGAACCAGCCAAGUCGCGUGAAGGAAGAAGGAUCUAUGGUUCGUAAACUUCUUUUGCAGGGGAAUAAAGUGCAGGACGUGUCCUGUUUUGUAUGUACCCUGAGAAUAAGGAUCGGCUAACUCCGUGCCAGCAGCCGCGGUAAUACGGAGGAUCCGAGCGUUAUCCGGAUUUAUUGGGUUUAAAGGGUGCGUAGGUGGUUUGAUAAGUCAGCGGUGAAAGUUUGCAGCUUAACUGUAAAAAUGCCGUUGAAACUGUCGGACUUGAGUGUAAAUGAGGUAGGCGGAAUGCGUGGUGUAGCGGUGAAAUGCAUAGAUAUCACGCAGAACUCCGAUUGCGAAGGCAGCUUACUAAGCUACAACUGACACUGAAGCACGAAAGCGUGGGGAUCAAACAGGAUUAGAUACCCUAGUAGUCC
rnacentral:rRNA from 1 species